AACACCUCACCAGGAGCCAAAUUGUGUGGGUGCCAUAAAACAUCUACCUGCCUUUGCAAGGGAAAGGGAAAUAAGGGAAGGCAAUUCAGAUGCUGCCUGCAGUUAGUGAAUAUCAUGUGUCAAACACUAACUUGGUGUGGUACUGGUGUGUUAUUUGCUUUAUUGCUCAGAGCUGCAUGCUGAGUAAAUUAAAGGGAUGCAUUUUCUGUGUGAAACAUGGGAACAGGUGGAGCUGUAGCCUCUCUGGUAAUUCCUGUGAGCUCUCUGAUAAUUUCUGUCAUCUCCCUGUUAAUUCCUCCCAUCUCUCUGGUAAUCCCUGUGACUCUCAGGUAACUUCUGCAAUCUGUCUGGUAAUUCCUGUAACUCUCUGGUAAUUCCUAAAACCUCUCUGGGGAUUCCUGCAGUCUCUCAGGUGAUCCCUGUGACUCUCAGGUAACCCCUGUGAGUCUCAGGUAAUUCCUGCAGUCUCUCAGGUAACCCCUGUGAGUCUCAGGUAAUUCCUGCAGUCUCUCAGGUAAUUCCUGUGGCUCUCAGGUAAUUUCUGCAGUCUCUCAGGUAAUUCCUGUGGCUCUCAGGUAAUUUCUGCAGUCUCUCAGGUAAUUUCUGCAGUCUCUCAGGUAAUUCCUGCAGUCUCUCAGGUAAUUUCUGUAAUCUCUCAGGUAAUUUCUGCAGUCUCUCAGGUCAUUCCUGCAGUCUCUCAGGUAAUUUCUGUAAUCUCUCAGGUAAUUUCUGCAGUCUCUCAGGUAAUUCCUGCAGUCUCUCAGGUAAUUUCUGUAAUCUCUCAGGUAAUUUCUGCAGUCUCUCAGGUAAUUCCUGCAGUCUCUCUGCUGACGGCUGUGCCUUUCC